ensembl:lncRNA
CCACCCGUAUUCUAAAUGAUUGUGUGAUUCCAAAUCCUGAGCCAACUAUGUGUAUUUCAAAAACGGCCUUUAAUCCAACAGAACUGCUUUACUCUCCAGGGGGGAAUCCAACCGGUUCACCGGGAUUGAGGAGGGUCAACUGUCACAAAUACAGGACGCCGAAAAGACGAUCGCGCUCACAGAAAAAAAGGUGGCGGCCACAAUGCAACGCAUCCCUGAAAUGAUGGAGCUCGAGAAAACGGAAAACGACAGAAUUGUGCAACUGAAACUUCAAAUCGAGGUUGAAAUGCAAAAGAAUAAGAAAUCAAAAGACAAACUAACCGCACUGCGAGAAGACAUCGAGAAGGCCAGGCUUCACGGGGAAGCCGAGGUUUCCUGCAUAGAAGAGCAGCUCCUUUCAAAACGUAACGCUUUUGAGGCUCUUCGUCAAGAGAACAUGGAGUGUGAACAGAAUGCGGAGGACUACAGGAUGAAAAUGUCUGAGAGCGAGAAGGCGGUGCAGGAGAUGCGCGAGCAGAGGAAGCAGAUGCUGCUGAGCAUCAUCGACAAUGACGAGCGGUGGGAAGAGGCCGAGGAGGAAGUGGCCCAGGUCGUAGCCAGGCACGGCGUCACCCGGGCCACGCUGGACGAGCGGGAGAAGCUCACCUUCGCGGAGGAGCAGAGGACCAAGAAAGAGAUCGAAAAGCUGAGGCAGGAUCUGACGGGUCGGACGAGCGCCCUGGAGCUACUGAAGGGUCAGUGUGCGAAUAAAAGUGAGGAACUGUAUCGACAGCAAAAGAGCAGAGCGCUGACUAACCAGAAACUUCAGAAAGAGUUUGAAGAUGCAUCCUCAGUGACCAAAGAACUGGAGACCUCAUUUUUGAAAAUUAAGAAACUGGCAGAACAUUUUGAGGAGAGCCAGCGUGAACACAGGGACACAUUAGUCAAACUUGAGACGGACAAACAACUCCAACGUGACCACCUGAAAGCUGCUCAGGCUUCACUCGCCGCCGCCGCCGAGCGAUAUGACGCCACCGCGGGCCGGAUCAGUGACCUGACAAAGAAGACCCGGGACUGCCGCCAGGCUUCCGAUCAAAUGGAGGAAAUGUUCAAAAACAUGCCGGAGGUCAUAGCAGAACUUCAGAGCGUCUUUGACGCGGUGGAUUUCAAAAACAAGUCAGCUGCUCUCGUAAUGAGCACCUUGCAGUCUGAUAUUAAUAACUGCCAACAACGAACACAGCGAUCCGUGCAGGCACACACUGCUCACGUUGCAGCCAGAAGGAAGGAAAUGGAAGACACCAAGCUCUCUUUGUUGCAGAAGAGGAUGCACAAAGCUCUGGUGAAAUACUUCAAACGACGCAGCCUCUACAGCCGGGCUGAACUGGACCGGUGCCUGGCUCUUUCUCAAGGGACCCACCGGAAAAUACAAACUGCCCAGGAAGGCUUGUCAGCAGAAAUUCAGCUCAUCUCUGCGUUCCUGCAGCCGCUGACGGAUGACUCGUCCGCCUGCGACCACGCCGGCGCCAACAAACGAGCAAACCGGCCCAGGACCGAAUGA